AUUGAACGCUGGCGGAAUGCUUUACACAUGCAAGUCGAGCGGCAGCACGGGGGCAACCCUGGUGGCGAGCGGCGAACGGGUGAGUAAUACAUCGGAACAUGCCCAGUCGUGGGGGAUAACACUUCGAAAGAAGUGCUAAUACCGCAUCCGUCCUGAGGGAGAAAGCGGGGGAUCGCAAGACCUCGCGCGAUUGGAGUGGCCGAUGUCAGAUUAGCUAGUUGGUGGGGUAAAGGCCUACCAAGGCAACGAUCUGUAGCUGGUCUGAGAGGAUGAUCAGCCACACUGGGACUGAGACACGGCCCAGACUCCUACGGGAGGCAGCAGUGGGGAAUUUUGGACAAUGGGGGCAACCCUGAUCCAGCCAUUCCGCGUGAGUGAAGAAGGCCUUCGGGUUGUAAAGCUCUUUCGGCAGGAACGAAACGGUGAGCUCUAACAUAGCUCGCUAAUGACGGUACCUGAAGAAGAAGCACCGGCUAACUACGUG
rnacentral:rRNA from 1 species